GCCCGCCUGGCGGAACUGGUAGACGCGCCGAGCUCAAACCUCGGUGCCGCGAGGCAUCCGGGUUCGAUCCCCGGGGCGGGCA
rnacentral:tRNA from 1 species